CCUACGGGUGGCAGCAGCGGGGGAUAUUGCACAAUGGGGGGAACCCUGAUGCAGCGACGCCGCGUGGGUGAAGGAGCGUUUCGGCGCGUAAAGCCCUAUCGGCAGGGAAGAAGAUGACGGUACCUGACCAAGAAGCCCCGGCUAACUACGGGCCAGCAGCCGCGGUAAUACGUAGGGGGCAAGCGUUAUCCGGAUUUACUGGGUGUAAAGGGGGCGCAGACGGCAAUGCAAGCCAGGAGUGAAAGCCCGGGGCUCAACUCCGGGACUGCUUUUGAAACUGUAUGGCUAGAUUGCAGGAGAGGCAAGUGGAAUUCCUAGUGUAGCGGUGAAAUGCGUAGAUAUUAGGAGGAACACCAGUGGCGAAGGCGGCUUGCUGGACUGUAAAUGACGCUGAGGCUCGAAAGCGUGGGGAGCAAACAGGAUUAGAUACCCUUGUAGUC
rnacentral:rRNA from 1 species